UCACGUUGAAACACCGAUUCUCGUACGAUCAUCAAAGUUAAGCAAUAUCGAGCCUCGUCAGUACUUAGAUGGGUGACUGCUUGGGAAUGCCAGCUGCUAU